rnacentral:rRNA from 1 species
AUUGAACGCUGGCGGCAUGCUUUACACAUGCAAGUCGAACGGCAGCGCGGGGCAACCUGGCGGCGAGUGGCGAACGGGUGAGUAAUACAUCGGAACGUACCCAGAAGUGGGGGAUAACGUAGCGAAAGUUACGCUAAUACCGCAUACGUUCUACGGAAGAAAGUGGGGGAUCGCAAGACCUCAUGCUUUUGGAGCGGCCGAUGUCUGAUUAGCUAGUUGGUGAGGUAAAGGCUCACCAAGGCGACGAUCAGUAGCUGGUCUGAGAGGACGACCAGCCACACUGGGACUGAGACACGGCCCAGACUCCUACGGGAGGCAGCAGUGGGGAAUUUUGGACAAUGGGCGCAAGCCUGAUCCAGCAAUGCCGCGUGAGUGAAGAAGGCCUUCGGGUUGUAAAGCUCUUUUGUCAGGGAAGAAACGGCUGGGGUUAAUACCUCCGGCUAAUGACGGUACCUGAAGAAUAAGCACCGGCUAACUACGUGCCAGCCGCCGCCGUAAUAC